rnacentral:rRNA from 1 species
CACGUAGGGCGCGAGCGUUGUCCGGAAUUAUUGGGCGUAAAGAGCUCGUAGGCGGCCUGUUGCGUCCGCUGUGAAAGCCCCGGGGCUUAACCCCGGGUCUGGCAGUGGAUACGGGCAGGCUAGAGGUAGGUAGGGGAGAAUGGAAUUCCCGGUGUAGCGGUGAAAUGCGCAGAUAUCGGGAGGAACACCGGUGGCGAAGGCGGUUCUCUGGGCCUUACCUGACGCUGAGGAGCGAAAGCGUGGGGAGCGAACAGG